UACGAAGGGGGCUAGCGUUGUUCGGAAUUACUGGGCGUAAAGCGCACGUAGGCGGAAUGUUAAGUCAGGGGUGAAAUCCCGGGGCUCAACCCCGGAACUGCCUUUGAUACUGGCAUUCUCGAGUCCGGAAGAGGUGAGUGAAAUUCCGAGUGUAGAGGUGAAAUUCGUAGAUAUUCGGAGGAACACCAGUGGCGAAGGCGGCUCACUGGUCCAUUACUGACGCUGAGGUGCGAAAGCGUGGGGAGCAAACAGG
rnacentral:rRNA from 1 species